rnacentral:lncRNA from 1 species
AACUGAGUCUAUCGGUUAAAUCUUCGGUAUGUCCAUGUCUUUUCUGCAACGAUUCCAUCUCGUUCCUUCGUACAAAUACGCCAAAUCAUUGGUAUUUUUGAUUACCUGUUUUAAAAAUAUAAAAACAAUAUUAGGGUCUAUGUUCUUACACCCACCAGUGCCCCUUUGAAUAUUGUUGUUUAUUUAGACAAUCAGUCUGCGAGACAAAGCCUAUUGUGACAUUCAGACAUCUGGAACAUCAGGAGGGGAGACUCUGAGAGAGUGUGGGUCUGACUGCGCAUGUGUGAAAUACCCUCCCUAUAAAGACUCCAUGCUCAACUUUUUACCAAUCAUACUACGUUCAUUGCAUGCAUGUGAAUACGUGAUUAAAACAAUGUAUCAUCCAUAUUUUGAAAAGAGUUCUAGAAUAUGUUUAAUAUGUUUAAUAAUAAGAAUAUAAUUUAUUUUUCUUCAUUCUGAUAGAGAUGUUUAUUCUUUAUACCUCUAGUCCGAUAGUCCAAAUCCAUCAGUUUUCGUUUCGCAGUCAAACAUCGUUUGACGGUGAUGGCAAUUUGGACUUGGGAGAACUUCCGUUCCAGUCCACUUAAAACAAUCUUAUUUCUCUGCUACUUACAAGAAAACAGUAACUGUUGCAAAAGGGUAAAAAUAUUAUACUGUUUAAAUUUCUUUAACACGCCGACCGAAAUUGAAAAUUGUAUAUCAUCGUGAAUUACCAACAGUAUUUGUUGGUUGUUGUCAAGACGGGUUACAUCAAAAUGUGAAAUUCCGGAUAUGGGGAAUUAUAUAACUUCAUUAUCGGAACCGAAUAUAGCAUUAAAAAAUCUGUCGAUGAAGAGAAAAGAGAUUGUCUUAUGUGGCCUGACUCUAUCUGUCUACUGGUUGCCAUAUUGUUAAGUGAAUGAAUGUAACUGAAGGAUGUGAACCACACAACAUGACAGGCCGAGGGGUGGUAUAUAUGAAAAUAUACGAAAAAAGCUUUAAUCAUUUUGUCAUAACUAAAUUUAAGAUUUUUUCUGACUCUCGAAACUUCAUUCAUGACUUCAUUUGAUAACUAUUAAAACUGAUCUGGUUUUUUUUUGUCCUAUUGUUGAAAUUGGUUUAAUGUUUUCGAUUGAAAUCCUCUAUGUUCACUGCCGUCACCGCUUCCAGAAAUGCACAUGCAUUUGUUGCAAGCUUUUGUCAAAUUCAUCUUUGUAAUGCAUUGUAUUGAAAAUGUUUGUCAUAUGUUUCAUCAUUUGACAUAUUUCUUUUCUUUUCUAUUAAAUAAUUUCUUUUUUCAGUUUUAAGAUUCAAGCGAAAUUGAUAAAAAUGUUUAAAAUAAGAUCAGUGCAUAUCCACACAUUAACAUAUCACAGUGUGGGCCCUCUUAAUAACCCACUAACAAUAUCCCACCGUACUUAAUUUGUUUAUCAUUCACGAAAUCAAAAUAAUUUUAUAGAGCGUUUUACAUUCUGUUUGUAAUUUUUCAUGUUUAUUUUUUAUAAUUAUACCAGCCGGGUAGGAUGAAUCAAAUUCAGUGCUGAUGACUUUUUAAUAUCAGCGAAAACAGUUGGAUAUGAAUCUCAGUGUAAAUAUAUACCUCAACGAUGAUAUAUCAAUGUAUGUAUAUUAUUGGUUAAAUUGUACAUUACGUACUUACAUGAUACUGGAACCUCGUUUAUACACUAUUGGGUGAUCUGUCAAAUAUGUCCUGAUUAACCUUACCAGAUUUCAGAUCAUGAAACAUUAAUAUUCAUGACAUUCGUACGAAAGAGGUUUGGUCUAACAGGAUUCCACUUUUAGCGACGUCAGCAUCUUUACCAGAUUAACAGACAAUUAAUUAUGACAUUAUGAUUUAUAAGGAAGUGGAAACAAGAUUAACUUAAUUCCGUUUAGCAAGGUUCCAUUUUUCUAACUUCACAAGCCCCCAAAAGCCGCCGAUUGUAAACAUUUAAAUUUUGUGGCUUUGCUGGCAAUGUGUUUGGCCUACGGCCUUGAUAUGUGAGUUGAAUGUCUCGUUAUAGUCACGUUACAAGUCCGAGAGUUGAAUGUUGCAUGCGAGAAGAGAAAUUGUGAUAUUUGGCGUGCAGCUCUCUUACAUAGUGUACAUUGUUCUUGGUUGAAAGUUGCUUUGCUGUUUACAGGAAUAUUUGUACGUUUUGUGUUUGUCCCCGUUGCAAGACAAUAAACAAUGAAUUAAUAUA